UAAUAUCUUAAUGCUUUGUUGAAGUAUUAUGAUAUUGGUAAAUAAAUGAAGGUGUAGGGAGUGUUGAGUAGGGUCAUAUAUUUGGUGAGAUCCAUAACUAUUGAUGUCUCUAUAUCAUAUCAUCGACUAGUAUGAUGAGGUCCCUCAUUGGCCCCAUUAACGGAAUGCUUCAAGCGGUAGCAAUUCGAUCAUAGCUUCUAGCAC
rnacentral:lncRNA from 1 species